AUUGAACGCUGGCGGCAGGCCUAACACAUGCAAGUCGAACGGUAACAGGGAUCAGCUUGCUGAUUCGCUGACGAGUGGCGGACGGGUGAGUAAUGUCUGGGAAACUGCCUGAUGGAGGGGGAUAACUACUGGAAACGGUAGCUAAUACCGCAUAACGUCGCAAGACCAAAGAGGGGGACCUUCGGGCCUCUUGCCAUCGGAUGUGCCCAGAUGGGAUUAGCUAGUAGGUGGGGUAACGGCUCACCUAGGCGACGAUCCCUAGCUGGUCUGAGAGGAUGACCAGCCACACUGGAACUGAGACACGGUCCAGACUCCUACGGGAGGCAGCAGUGGGGAAUAUUGCACAGUGGGCGCAAGCCUGAUGCAGCCAUGCCGCGUGUAUGAAGAAGGCCUUCGGGUUGUAAAGUACUUUCAGCGGGGAGGAAGGGAGUAAAGUUAAUACCUUUGCUCAUUGACGUUACCCGCAGAAGAAGCACCGGCUAACUCCGU
rnacentral:rRNA from 1 species